CAGCCGCCGCGGGAAUACGAAGGGUGCAAGCGUUACUCGGAAUUACUGGGCGUAAAGCGUGCGUAGGUGGUGGUUUAAGUCCGUUGUGAAAGCCCUGGGCUCAACCUGGGAAUUGCAGUGGAUACUGGGUCACUAGAGUGUGGUAGAGGAUAGUGGAAUUUCCGAUGUAGCGGUGAAAUGCGUAGAGAUCGGGAGGAACAUCAGUGGCGAAGGCGGCCAUCUGGGACAACACUGACGCUGAGGCACGAAAGCGUGGGGAGCAAACAGGAUUAGAUACCCGCGUAGUCCCUGUCUCUUAUAC
rnacentral:rRNA from 1 species